rnacentral:rRNA from 1 species
GACGAACGCUGGCGGCGUGCUUAACACAUGCAAGUCGAACGGAAAGGCCCUGCUUUUGUGGGGUGCUCGAGUGGCGAACGGGUGAGUAACACGUGAGUAACCUGCCCUUGACUUUGGGAUAACUUCAGGAAACUGGGGCUAAUACCGGAUAGGAGCUCCUGCUGCAUGGUGGGGGUUGGAAAGUUUCGGCGGUUGGGGAUGGACUCGCGGCUUAUCGGCUUGUUGGUGGGGUAGUGGCUUACCAAGGCUUUGACGGGUAGCCGGCCUGAGAGGGUGACCGGCCACAUUGGGACUGAGAUACGGCCCAGACUCCUACGGGAGGCAGCAGUGGGGAAUAUUGCACAAUGGGCGGAAGCCUGAUGCAGCAACGCCGCGUGCAGGAUGACGGCCUUCGGGUUGUAAACCGCUUUCGCCUGUGACGAAGCGUGAGUGACGGUAAUGGGUAAAGAAGCACCGGCUAACUACGUG